GAGUGGUCUUUUGUUUUAGCUGGGUGAAUCCGCGUUUGGAGGUGGCUGUGGCUUGAGGAGCUGUUGGAAAUUUGUGGGUCCAGAUGGCCUGAGAGGCAGCAGGAGUUGCAGGACCAUGUGCAAGCUGGAAGCCCGCAGAUUCAGUCCUCUGAAUGCUAAAGCACUUCAGCCCUUUUCCCUUUUGAGUGACCCUUCUGCCUUGGACUUUCCACGGUUUUAAUUUCUGCUCAUCACUAUUUUUUUUCUCUUCCUCCAGGAUCCCAGAAACCUCACCAGUUUCUCUCUCAUCUUGCACAACCCUUGUGUUGUGUCAGACUUCAUCUCUGGCUGCCAAUGCUCCAUCUCUUUGUACAUCCAUGUUCCCAAGCCUCAGCAUCUCUGCAGGUCACUGGAUGAGAACAGGUCAAGUAAGAGGAGUGAAGAAACCCCCAUCCCCCUGCAUGGCUGCUUUGACCUGUUCUUUGCAAGAAUGAGGAUGUGGGAUGUAGGAAGUGAGACCUGUGAGCCAGAUUCCCCCAUUACCUUGCUGGAGAGCAGAGCCCUUGAGGAAGCUGGGUGAUGGUGUUCAGCAGAAGUGGAAGCUCUUCCUAGAAUCCUGUUGGUUUGGAAGUGUGCCUCUGUCUUUAAAAUCUUGGGGUUUAUAGAAGCAUUUCUCCUGCCUCCUGAGCUGCCAAAGGAGUGACAGCAUUACUGUGAACCUUUGAUGUAGCCCGUGGAGUGAUCAAAUGACCUGCUUCCUCCCUGUGCAAUGAGCAGAGGGGGCAAAGAGUGGCUUUAGCUGGCUUGGCUUUGUGGCCAUUGUUAGCUCCUUACACUGCUACAUCUGCUGGGUGCUUUAAACAAACAUCAGUGGUUCUGCAAGAAGUCUGACAAAUCUGCUGCUGAGGUUUUGCUGUAUUGACACUGGGAUAAAAAUGAAAACUAAUUAAAAAGAGAUGUAUGUGGAAUUUGUGACUAGCUUGUUUGCAGCCCUGUUAACUGGAGAAUGGAUUGUGCAGCAGAAAGCCAUGAGAUGAAGGACUGUGGUUUCAGGAACACGUUGCAGAAGGUAUUUGAGCAAAUGAAGCUGCUUUGAUGAUGCUUUUUGUGGGGGAGAGAGGUUUUUUCCAGCAUCCAGCAGAACCUGCAACCCUUAUCCCCUCUUCAUGAUGGUCACCACAACCCUGCCUGUUAAUGCUAAUCCAGCAAGUACACAACAGCUCACUUAGCACGUGUCUGUCUCCAAAGCAGCAUGUUCUGGGGGGAUGCUGCAGUGUGUUGUGUAAAGACUUAGCUAUGCCCAGAUAGGGCUGAAAUGGACUGAGCUAUGGAAUUAAAUGAUCACUUUGCUUGGCUAGAGUCAUUCAUGUAAUGCUUGUAAUGGUUUAUGGUUUGGUGCUACAUGUAUUGCAGCAUCAUGAGGACACCUGGCUGUGACCAGGAUUCCACUAAGGAUGCCUUGCAGUGACAUGAAAUGAGAGGAAUCCUACCUUUUGAGGCCAUGGGGGAAUUGCUGUGAUUAAGACAUCUGUAGCAGAGUGUUUUGAAAAGUAAAUCCUUUGGGAAAGGCUCCUGGGGUGAAAAAAAACAAUCAAACCAAGCAGAUGGAAUGCCAAACUCCUGGAAUACCAUGUGAGCAUGAUGGCAUUUGUGAAGUGGCAACUCUCUGCGUGCGCUGUCAUCUCUUUGGUGUGCUCCUGAGCGAAACAGUGUCUUUUGUAAGCUUACCUAAUGGCAUGUCAGAAUGAGUCUUUAAAAUGAGGUUGUCUUACCCCACCACAGGCAUGGGGGUGAAAGUGUGGUUGGGCUUUAUUAAACAUAAAGCUGUUCCCUGAGAAACAUGAAUGAGAUUAAUGAAAUCACAAGAAUCCUGGAUCCAUUUAGUGAGCAGCUAAUAAACUGUGGAGUAAAACUUGAGUUUUCCCUUUUCUGUCUCUCUGGUGACACAGCCACUGCUGCUAAGACUGAGAACUUCUGUCCCUUCCAAAAGGAAUGGCUUUUUAAAAUCUCCAUUUUCCUGAACUGUGCCUGCUUUUUAUAACAUAUAUCAGCAUUUCAUCUUGACUCUUCAGCACACCCUUAGUGGGCACUUGCCCUCUGCUUCACUCACCCACAGACAUCCUCUCUGUCAGUGCUGCACUCUAGGAGCAAGAGGAACAACUGUUGCUGUUGAAGGAGCUCUCAGGAGUUUAACUUCUCUAAUGUGCUAUAGCACUUAACAUGCUGCUCAGAUUUUUAAUUACCUCAUGGUGAUUAGCAGCCCAGAAAAUCCCAUCAAACCAAUUAACUAAUGUGCACCUGACUGAAGGCUGCUGCACGCUCCAGGGGCUGCUUCACUGUAAAGCUCCACUGGUCCCUGCAGGCUGAAGAUUUGCACUGGCCUGGCAGCUCCCACCAAGGGAAGGAGAAACCCUCAGGGUUUUGCGCCGUGUUCGUCACUUGGAUGAGGAGAGAAGACAGGUGUCAGGUCUUACAAAUGGUUUAGCUGUUGCACUGGUUUGACUUGUUGAAUGCAUUUGCAUUGUUUGGACAUUCUAAACCUUCAUUCAAAGAUGAGCUCUUGGGCAAGUGGGGGACAAACAGUGUGGGAAAGGAGAAUCUGCUCAGCUUUUUUUGUUACUGUGCUCUGCUGGAAGAUGGUCAGUAAGAAGAAACCUUCAUUGCUCCAGUUUGUGAUUGCAAGCAUAGGGCAAA